rnacentral:lncRNA from 1 species
UGCAGUUUGGUCGGAAUCGCUUGAGAGCGAACUCUCCUCGAAGUCGUACGUGUCGUCGGGAUCAGGAUUUCCAUCGCUGUCACCGUGUGCAUCACUGAGACUUCGAGUGUCGAACGCCGCUACUCCAGAACCACCGUUACCAGCUAAAGACUGAGGAAUGUUCUUGCUAGAGCGUGGCUGGCUGGCAGAUUGCGCCUCCGCCGCUUUUUGAUAUAGGCUCGUUGACCGAGGUACUACAUAAUGCGAUCCAGGCUCCAAAUAGCGCUUCCUUCUUUUUGAUCGAGGCUGUGGUUGAGCUGAAUCCAUCUUUCGUCGAACUGAACGCGAACUUCAAAUAGCGCGCUUCAUGGAGUCCACGCAAAGUGAGGCCGCGAUGAACAAUCUAAGCGGGUCCAAGAUGCAUAGACCGAGGCUUCACAUUCACACCCUGCUUGCCGUGCCUUGAAGAUGGUGCGCGGCGCGGAAACGAUGAUAAACUAUGAUGUAACAUCGGAGAUAACGUGCAACGAGGUAGGGCUCCUCAGGUCACACUCGAUUGCCAUUAUGGCCAUCACGAUGGCCAUGAUGAUGAUGAUGAUGCGACCAACGGACCAACGCGAGCGACACCAGGCUAGCCACCCUAACCAGGCGACACUAUGUUCAUUGUUGUUUAUUUUUUAUUUACGGUGAGUUAAAAAAAAUUACCGUGUAAACUUGUAAAAACAUGAAGCAAAUUUUCUUAGUUUUUUAAAAACGAAAUUGCAUUUUGUUGAGACCCACAAAUGGUACCGCCAUCGUCAUGAACAGCGCGUUGGUACGUACGUUUUUGUUGUGUGUGUUGCUGAGUGGUAGCGCGCGUCCAUGUGCAUUUCUUCGGCGGCAUGUUCGCGUACGUUCGUUUCCGCGACGACAACGAAAAGCGAAUCGUCCCAGUGGCUGCAUGUAAACACCUCAAGCCGAACGAUACGAGCGAUUUUAAUCCUCGCAAAUGGUACAAAGUCUUCUGGAAAGAUGAAACACACUGCGACCACUACCACGCUCAAGUGAUUAGGCUUUACGCUACCGAGGACGAUGCAAGGAAGGCUACCGAAAAACGAACUUCCAUUCCUCAAAGACCUGGCAGCGACUCCUCCUAUAGCUGCAGUUCAAAUGAAGUGGAUGGAUCGUUUGAAGAAGAAACGCAGCGUCAAGCUGCUGUUAAACAGAAAAUGAAGGAUGUGAGCAGCCAUUUUAAGAAGCAGC